rnacentral:rRNA from 1 species
CAAUAGCGUAUAUUAAAGUUGUUGCAGUUAAAAAGCUCGUAGUCGUAUUUCUAGAUUGAGCAUAUUGUCCGGGCGUAUUGCGUCUGUGUACAUUGUUGUCUCGAUCUAUCCUUGUGGAGAGCUAGUUUGGCCUUAAUCGGUUGAGCUAGGGAUCUGCAUCAUUUACUGUGAAAAAAUUAGAGUGUUUAAAGCAGGCAUUUGCUGUGAAUACAUUAGCAUGGAAUAAUAAGAUAGGACUUUGGUACUAUUUUGUUGGUUUGCAUACCAAGGUAAUGAUGAAUAGGGACAGUUGGGGGUAUUCAUAUUUAGUUGUCAGAGGUGAAAUUCUUGGAUUUACGAAAGAUGAACUUAUGCGAAAGCAUUUACCAAGGAUGUUUUCAUUGA